rnacentral:lncRNA from 1 species
GAGAGGCGCCUGGGGACACAGCCGCCUCGCGGCCGCCACUCUACGCCCCUGCAGAGAUCCUGGCCUUCCCACAGAGCGACGCCGCCACUUCCUGGGGAACAACGGAAGAGCGAGAAGACCCGAGGUGCCCAAGGGCAGAAGGCCACCCAACAGCCCAGAGGCCAGGCCACAUGGCCGUGUGAGCUCCCGGGCGCGCCCCCAGCAUGGUCCCGGCCCGGGGGCUGCUCCAGAGCGCCGCCCCGGCCUCCCCGUCGCCUUCACAGUCGCCUUCGGAGGCAGCCAUGACCCAGCCUCCGCCUGACCAGGCCCCAGCCAGGAAGCACGUCCGGCUGCAGGAGAGGCGCGGCUCCAACGUGGCCCUGAUGCUGGAUGUGCGGUCCCUGGGGGCCGUGGAGCCCAUCUGCUCCGUGCGCACGCCCCAGGAGGUCACGCUGCACUUCCUGCGCUCCGCCGGACGCCCCCUCAGCCGGCAGGCCCUGCAGCACCGGCCGCCCAGCCCCACGCAGCUGGAAGAGGAAUUCCUGAGGAUCCCCUCAAACUUCGUUAGCCCCGAAGACCUGAAUAUUCCUGGCCAUGCCUCCAAGGACCGAUAUAAGACCAUCUUGCCAAACCCCCAGAGCCGAGUCUGUCUGGGUCGGGCAGAGAGCCAGGAGGACGGGGAUUACAUCAACGCCAACUACAUUCGGGGCUACGGCGGGCAGGACAAGGCCUACAUCGCCACCCAGGGCCCCAUGCCCAACACAGUGUCGGACUUCUGGGAGAUGGUGUGGCAGGAGGAGGCCCCCCUCAUCAUCAUGCUCACGCAGCUCCGAGAGGGCAAGGAGCACCCCCCCCCAGAAGUGCGCCCACUACUGGCCCGCCGAGGAGGAGACCUACGGGCCCUUCCGCGUCCGCGUCCAGGACGUGCGGGAGCGCCCAGAGUACACCGUGCGGACACUGACCAUCCAGCACCAGGAGCAGCGCCGCGCCCUGAAGCACAUCCUCUUCUCGGCCUGGCCCGACCACCAGACCCCAGAAUCGGCGGGGCCCCUGCUGCGCCUGGUGGCCGAGGUGGAGGACAGCCCGGAGGUCGCUGCCCACCCUGGGCCCAUCGUGGUCCACUGCAGCGCAGGGAUCGGCCGGACCGGCUGCUUCAUCGCCACCCGCAUCGGCUGCCAACAGCUGAAGGCCCGAGGGGAGGUGGACAUCCUGGGCAUUGUGUGCCAGCUGCGGCUGGACAGGGGGGGCAUGAUCCAGACGGCAGAGCAGUACCAGUUCCUGCACCACACCCUGGCCUUGUUCGCCGCCCAGCUGCCGGAGGAGCCCAGCCCCUGACCCGGAGCCCUCCCUGCCCGGGGCCGCUUCCCCAGGCCUGGGGAAAGGGGGCCUCGUGACCUGGGGAAUCCCCAGGGGGCCUGUCUGGAGUUCCAGAAGCUGGCCAGUGAGGAGGAGGCCAGACACCAGCUCUUGAGCACUGCCCACGCCCCUGCCCCCUGGAGAGGCCCCCAGUGGACACAGGGGUGGCCCCCAUGUGAGAGCCUGGGUCUCCUCCUCAGACCACCAGGGCAGAGCAACCUGAGGGUGCCCACAAGCUGCUCCAGCUGCACCCCCUGCCUGGGGCUGGCAAGAGUGUGACCCCAAGAUCAUACCUACCCCGGUCCAGCCCGAGAACAGGCCGAUGGCCGGAGUUGGGAGAAGCCUGGUGCUGCCUUAGCUACGUCCCCAGCAUCCUGCCAGGGACUCUGCCUUCUCACCC